UCUCUCUGAAUCUGCGAACGGCUCCGCACACCAGUUGCAAACUAUAGCAAGCAAGCCCGUCGUUUACCGCAAGGUGGGCGGCGGGUAGAUGGAUAACCCUGGUAAUUCUGCGGCUAAUACAAGAACGCAAAGCCUCGCUGACUGGGUAACUGGAAGGCGGGGGGGCGUGCUCUUUAAGUUGCAAGUAUAACCGGGAAAGGGGGCACGUCAUGACCGCGCUAAAAAGGAAAGUUGGUUCACUCCUUCUCUCUAGCGGCUCUUGCUGUGUACUUCUGACCUAUCAACUAGAUGGCAGCGUAAGGGACAUGCUAUGGUUACAACGGGUACAGAGGAUUAGGGUUCGAUCCUGGAGAGUGGGCCUGAGAGAUU
rnacentral:rRNA from 1 species